rnacentral:rRNA from 1 species
UACAGAGACUGCAAGCGUUAUUCGGAUUCACUGGGCGUAAAGGGUGCGCAGGCGGUUGGGUGUGUCAGAUGUGAAAUCCCGAGGCUUAACCUCGGAACUGCGUCUGAAACUACUCGACUAGAGUACUGGAGAGGGAAACGGAAUUCACGGUGUAGCAGUGAAAUGCGUAGAUAUCGUAAGGAAGACCAGUGGCGAAGGCGGGUCUCUGGACAGUUCCUGACGCUGAGGCACGAAGGUCAGGGGGAGCAAACGGG